rnacentral:lncRNA from 1 species
GAGAGAAGUUAACCACUUCUGGAAACUGGUGGAAAGCAUUUCAUCAUGAGGAAUGGAAAAGAAGACAAAACACAGGGCAUUUGGAAAUUCCCUUUGAUCAUUUGCCAUGGAAGCCAUGCAGCUCGUGGCAAGGCUGCAUGAACAGUGUAAUGCAGAAUUGGGAGACUGGAUUGGCAGCCACACUAAGAAGCACUCUGCCUCUAAAGAUUUCCAGUACAAGAAACACAAGAAGCAGUGAGGAAAUAAGGCUUCAAGUGUGGUCUCGUUCUUCCAUUAUACUUCCUUCAAGAUCAUUAGAAUUGGUCCUGCUUUGCUGGAACUGGUUUAUGGACAGGGGUGUUAUGCAGAAGAUGCAAUCCAGUAUUUCAAGUGGUAAAACCGGGCUAUUGACUAGGAAAAUUAAAAGAAAGAUUGACUGUGAAGAAAAUUCCAUUUUCUGAAAAACAGAGUGGCAAAAUGAAAAUUUGACCUUGUUUAGCUGUAUUUCUUUGCUCUAUCAAAAUUCAUAAAUUUGCUUUGCAAGAAGGUAUCUUCAUCAUAAGAAGUGAGCUGAACAAAUUACAUGGCCAAAGAAAGAUGAACUGUAAAAAACUAGAUCAGUUUAACAGGUCUCAUUUAAUUAUACUGUUGAGAAAAAUAACAACCGUGUAAUGUUUUGCUUUUUUCGUGUGCCUUUCAUGUUAAGUCCACAACAAUGGAGAUACCUUAAAUGUUUCACAAUCCUGUCCUUGAAUACUGACUUUUACAUAGGAAAAUGGGAAAAUUCACAUCCUCUAUGCUUCACCUUCUGUGGUGGAACAAGAUUAUGAUGAGCAACUCCAGAGAUUAAAUCCUGAAAAAAAAAAUAAAUUAUUUGAAUUACUAUUACA